GGAGGCGGAGGGAGCGCGCGGGGUGGGUGCGGGUGACACUCCCGGCGGCGGCGGGCGGGGGGCCCCGGCGCCUGUAGCCCUAACAAAGAGGACUUGCCGCCCGCUCCUCCCCCACCGCGACACCCGGGGGGUCCCCAAGCCUGGCGGGAAAGGAGGGAGGGGGCGCCACUCUCGUAAGCAAAAUGUGGCGGGAGCGAAGGGGCGCGCGGCUGGCGAGUCUCGGGGCCCGCGGGGAGGAGGCUCCGGGUGGGUGGACUGGCCUCAGCCGCCGCGGCAAGGGGGGAGUGGGGGAGAAGGGCCGAGGGCGCCGCCGACUCACCGAGGGUGAUAUGAGCGAGACAGACGCGCAGGCGGGGAGCGGGGCCUCGGCGCCGGGGCCGCCAACGCGCGGGUGCAGAUUCCCGAGGGGAAGCCUGGCCAGCCGGUGGGGACAGCAGCCUCCGUCAGCCCCGGCGGCUUGGCCCCACCCGCCGCCUCCUGGGAGCCGAUCGGGAAAAGCCCUGGGGGAUCGGAAAGAACCUGGUGCUCAGGGGCCCUGGAGCCUUGUCCAGACAGCCCAGAACAGUGCUUGUGGAGACGGCAAGGUGGCUCUGUUGAGGCCCUGCUGGUGACCUUGCUCAGGGAUCUGCCUUCUCCGGGAUUCCAGCCUAUUUUUUUUGCAGAGCCAGUGAGUUGGACCAGUCAUCCGGGAGAUCCAGGAUGACAUUGGGUGGGAGGUCAAGAAGAUCCUACAGCACUUCCUCCCCUUCGUCUGGGCUGGCUUGGGCUUCGUCUGGGCUAAGGUCAUGGCUUUCCCUCAGCUCCAGGCUAUGUUGGAGUCUGCCAGGGCAUUGAACUGACUCUUCUGCCUUGAAGAAACCGGGAACACAGGCCCCAGGAGGGUCUCAGUGCUGCCUAACAAAAGCGUUGACACUAUGUCAUGUCUGUCUGUGUGCAGAAUGGCAUCUGCCAUGGCCUUGAACUGGGACACACGAUCCAGGAGGCUCAGGACCUGAAAGGUGUUGCCUGAGUCACUGCCUUUGCUGGACUUCCCCUCUGCCAUCUGUAAAAUGGGCAGGAGAGCAGCCUGCACCCCUGCUGGAGACGAGACACAGCCUUUCUGAAGAUGCCUCUGAGUCUUGUUUCCCCAUCUGGAAAUUGCAGCUAAUGCAGCAGUCUCGGCAGCUGCAGCAAAUAGAGCCUGACGAUGGCCAGUUGAAGCAGAAAAGCCUUUGCCAAAAGGAGGGCAGGCAGCUCUGGCCCAAUGCGGCAGCAUUGGUCUGGUGUCAAAGCCACCACUGCCAUCCGUGGGCACAGCUGCUGCAGUUGGCACUGCCCAUGGACAAGGACACCAGACACUCCAUCCAGCGGGACCAUGGCUGCCUCUGAAGCCUCAAGUGCUGCUGCCGCUGCUUCUGUGUCCUCGUCAGCAUGGUCUCCCAUGUGGCCUUGUCUUCCUUGUGCCAUUCAUUUCUAAAUCAUGGUCAAGCAUGUGCGUGUCUAAUCGGAGGCACCCAGAGCAGGUCGUCUGCCAAAGCUGCAAGGGAGGCUGGGAGAAGACGCUCUGUGAUCCUCUCGAAGGAGGUGGGCUCUGCCUUGUAGGAAGGGCAACUCAGGUGCUGGUGGCCAAAAGCCUGACGGUGUGCGCUUCCGACCACAGGGCACAUGUGAAGCCGCGAUGAGGCCACCGUGUAGGGAACACAGCAGCUCAGGUUGCUGAGAUUCACGGUGCUGCAGGUCUACAGUGUCCACGGUGGUGCGCCUCCAUAUUUCAAGUCUUUGAUUUUUCAGCAGGUGAAAGACGAAAGGACCUUGAAAGCAGUAUGGCUUGCUGCCCUUCCAGACGCAGAGGCAGCUCCGGUCCUGUUGCCAGGAGGACAGGUGACUGGGUUUUUCCAUUGUGGUGAUGAAUUGGGCUGAGUCACCAUUCCUCUCCAGUCCCCUCGUGACCAUGACUGGAGCAAGUAGAAAGUAAAGUAAAAGAACUAGCAGGUGGGGUCGGAGGCACAGAAGAGCCUGGGGCCACGGAAGCUUGCGCUCUUGGCAGGGAGGGUGAGGCAGGAACCACCCCCACCCCCCACUCACACUCUCCACUCACUGUGAGCCAAAGGGCCUCAGGGGGAGAAGAGUGGAUCCUUUCUCUUCUUUUAUGGGGUUGGUUGAGUGCCUCUUUGGUGCCAAGACCUGUGCUGUGGAGUGCAUUGGUGAACUAGAGCGGAUCAGGUUUAUGCACUGAUGGAGGAAACCAGCUUAGAGUCCCAUAAUCUAGGUACUAGGCCAACUCUGCUAACAUGCGUGAUUGAGGUUAGCAUGCAGUAUGGUGGGGGCCUGCAGGAGUCAGCAAGAGCUUCCUGGAGGAAGAGGCAUCUGAGAGGUGGAAAGUCAGCAGAUAGAGAUAGGAAAAGGGAUGAUGGGGGAGACACCACCCAUCCUUCCUCCAUUAGGUCAGCCAGGCCUUCCACAAAGCUCAGGGAGGCUCAGAGCUCAACCCUGCCAGGAGUUCCUGAAAGGAGGUCGAGAAUGCAGGGUGUGUGUGAGCAGAAGGUAAAGAACCAGGAAGUGGGUGAGAGUGAGUGUCAGGCCUCAGCCUGGAUCUGGAAUUUCAGCGGGCACCAGAUUACCUGCUCCCUGCUCCUGGGACACCCUGGACCAUGCACUGGCAAUGUUGCUGCCCCCUUUCUUCCCUGCAUGCAAAGACCCACUCCUGCAGGACCAGUUCUUGCUCUCCAGGUAACUCUGGACACCCUACCAUCUCCUCCCCCACCCCAGAGGGCAGCAGGACCCCUCCCCACCCCACCCCCCACCGGAAGUCUCACCAGACACACAGAGCCUGAGUUUGUGCUACGUCAAGACAAAGGGUGGAUCUGGCAAUAUUAUUUAAAAAUUCUAGUAGUCCUAAUAGAAUUUAAGAAUUCUAAUUAAAAAUUCUAAUAAAACUUAUAAGAUGCAGAAGGAAAAUUAAAAUCUCUCAUAAUGCCAUUGUCUAAAGAUAACCAGUGUUAACAUGUUAAUAUCUUGGGGGUUGAUAUCCUUCAGCAGUUUGUGUGUGUGUGUGUGUGUGUGUGUGUGUGUGUGUUAUCCCCCAAAGAAUCAUACUGCCUGUAUUAUUUUUGCUGCUCUUUUUCCCUCUUGCCAGUAUAUCAUGAACAUUUACCC